rnacentral:piRNA from 1 species
UGUGGAGACAAUUCUUUCAAA